rnacentral:rRNA from 1 species
GAUGAACGCUGACAGAAUGCUUAACACAUGCAAGUCAACUUGAAUUUGGGUUUUUUAACUUAGAUUUGGGUGGCGGACGGGUGAGUAACGCGUAAAGAACUUGCCUCACAGCUAGGGACAACAUUUGGAAACGAAUGCUAAUACCUGAUAUUAUGAUUAUAAGGCAUCUUAGAAUUAUGAAAGCUAUAUGCGCUGUGAGAGAGCUUUGCGUCCCAUUAGCUAGUUGGAGAGGUAACGGCUCACCAAGGCGAUGAUGGGUAGCCGGCCUGAGAGGGUGAACGGCCACAAGGGGACUGAGACACGGCCCUUACUCCUACGGGAGGCAGCAGUGGGGAAUAUUGGACAAUGGACCAAGAGUCUGAUCCAGCAAUGCUGUGUGCACGAUGACGUUUUUCGGAAUGUAAAGUGCUUUCAGUUGGGAAGAAAAAAUGACGGUACCAACAGAAGAAGUGACGGCUAAAUACGUG